GCUCCGGUAACUCAGUGGUAAAGCUCCAGUAUGUGGUGAGCGAAAGCGCCUAGCAAUAACUGUCAGGAGGUUGCAGGUUCAAAUCCUGCCAGGUGGC
rnacentral:tRNA from 1 species